rnacentral:misc_RNA from 1 species
AGGACUACCCGGGUAUCUAAUCCUGUUUGCUCCCCACGCUUUCGCGCCUCAGCGUCAGUUUCAGUCCAGAAAGCCGCCUUCGCCACUGGUGUUCCUACCGAUCUCUACGCAUUUCACCGCUACACCGGUAAUUCCGCUUUCCUCUCCUGCACUCCAGCCCACCAGUAUCCAAAGCAAUUCCCACCUUGAAAGCAGGACUUUCACUCCAGACUUAGCAGGCCGCCUACGCGCCCUUUACGCCCAAUCAUUCCGGACAACGCUCGCCCCCUACGUAUUACCGCGGCUGCUGGCAC